GAGUCUUGCUCUGUCGCCCAGGCUGGAGUGCAAUGGCACGAUCUUCGCCUCCCGGGUUCAAGCUAUUCUCCUGCCUCAGCCUCCUGAGUAGCUGGGAUUACAGGAAAAAGCUUCCACUGCACAACUGGAAGAAACCACUGCCUUGGGAAUUUUCUGUCCUGCAACCCUCAGCUACCCCCUUCUGGAAUGCUGCCACCAUGACUGCUAGAGACACUUCGUGGAAGCCCACAGGACGUGUCACCUUUUCUCAUGGGCUCAUUUUGUGGGCCAGGCACAAGCUUCUGUUCAUUCCACCUAUGGGGUUUGUAGGUCAACUCUCUGCAGCACCUGUUUAAUCUCUAGAAGAAAUGCUGAUAAAACUUGGAAAUGUCGUAGCUUAGGUAUCUUCAUUUUGAUUGAAACAAAUUUUGCAAAAAUUAUGACCGUGAGAGAAAUAUGACAUAGAAAAAUUACGACAGGGAAAGAAAUCUCACCUAACUCAUUCCAUCUUGCUUCUAACCUCCAAGCUGCUUUUGUUCAAUCCUGGACAUAGACCAACCUAACCAUGGGAGAAAUUUAAUUUAUAGUUUAACUCUGAAUCAAGGAUGAGUGUCCCUUUCUAAAACAGACCCCCUCCUUGUCCUGAUACUGAAACCACCUUUGUAAGACCCAGGAAAGACCACGAAAUUGAGAUUAUAGGAAGGGUCUGAAUUCUGCUAAGAUGUAGGCAUAGUUAAAUAAUAACCUGCCAUUGUUCCAUAGCUUGCUUUCUUAUAAUC
ensembl:lncRNA novel transcript